GAUGAACGCUGGCGGCGUGCCUAAUACAUGCAAGUCGAGCGAACGGACGAGAAGCUUGCUUCUCUGAUGUUAGCGGCGGACGGGUGAGUAACACGUGGAUAACCUACCUAUAAGACUGGGAUAACUUCGGGAAACCGGAGCUAAUACCGGAUGAUAUUUUGAACCGCAUGGUUCAAAAGUGAAAGACGGUCUUGCUGUCACUUAUAGAUGGAUCCGCGCUGCAUGAGCUAGUUGGUAAGGUAACGGCUUACCAAGGCAACGAUGCAUAGCCGACCUGAGAGGGGGAUAGGCCACACGGGAAGUGGAACGCGGUCCAGGCUCCUGAGGGAGGCAGCAGUAGGGAACCUUCCGCAGUGGGCGGAAGCCUGGCGGAGCAACGGCGCGUGAGUGGUGAAGAUCUUCGGAGCGUGAGACUCUGUUAUUAGGGGAGAGCAUAUGUGUAAGUAAAUGUACACGUCUUGACGGUACCUGAUCAGGAAGCCACGGCUAACUACGUG
rnacentral:rRNA from 1 species